rnacentral:rRNA from 1 species
CUACGUGCCAGCAGCCGCGGUAAUACGGAAGGUCCAGGCGUUAUCCGGAUUUAUUGGGUUUAAAGGGAGUGUAGGCGGUUUGUUAAGCGUGUUGUGAAAUUUAGGUGCUCAACAUUUAACGUGCAGCGCGAACUGGGGUGCUUGAGUACGAAGAGGGAAAGCGGAACUCGUGGUGUAGCGGUGAAAUGCUUAGAUAUCCUGAAGAACUCCGAUCGCGAAGGCAGCCAUCCGGGGCGUAACUGACGCUGAGGCUCGAAGGUGCGGGUAUCGAACAGGAUUAGAUACCCUGGUAGUCCGCACGGUAAACGAUGAAUACUCGCAGUUCGGUCUUUAUGAUCGAGUUGUCCAGCGAAAGCGUUAAGUAUUCCACCUGGGGAGUACGCCGGCAACGGUGAAACUCAAAGGAAUUGACGGGGGCCCGCACAAGCGGUGGAGCAUGUGGUUUAAUUCGAAGCAACGCGAAGAACCUUACCAGGUCUUGACAUCCCGAUGCUAUUUCUAGAGAUAGGAAGUU